UUUCACCAUCAUGUUGCUCUGAAGGCAAGUGAGGUUUUGCUUAAAUUACAUUGGGAUGUAUUGUAGGAAGUUCUUCUUUAUCUGUUGGCAGUAUCAUGUUAAUUUAGUUGCCUUAACAUUUUGAGUUGGUUAAUAGAAAUCACUCUAAUGUUUUCUUAUAUUUAUUCAGUCAAGGAAAAAACAGGCAGCAGAAUCAUUGUCAUAGCAACAACAGUGGGUGGCGUCGUAUUCCUUUGCAUCGUGCUUAUUGUCUUAUACAAACAACGAAAGCGAGCUACAAAAUUAUCAACUCCUGUCAAUAUUCCACUGACAGACGCAACUCCACAACAAUCAUUGCCAAUUGAUCAGG